AUGGUAGAAUCAUAUGCCAUCUGUUCAUGCUAAUUAUAUGAAAUGUUUGUAAUAAAACCUAAAACUCAGUGUGUUUGUUAAACUCCUAAAAUUCAGACCAUUACUGUGGAAGAUUUAUUAAGGCCCAUGAAUUUUAUACCAGAAAUUGGGAUCCUGCCAUGAAAGAAUCUGAAACAAGAUGAUGCACUGUUGAAUCAAAGGAGUUUUAAUGUGAGAAGCAUUUUUUGUUUUGUGGACUAAUUUUGGUUUUGAGCUCUGAGUAUGAGUGAAUUUUGGGUUGAAAUUCAGAUAAGACAAAGCAGGGGUGAAGUUUUGCAGAAACAAAGUAAAAAAAAAAAAAGAAAGAAAAAAAAGAGUAUUCUGGUAAAAUCUCUUGAUGACUUUCUGUGCAUUAUCAGUGGCUUUACUCAAAGCAGUGUGUGCAUAGGUAUGGCAGUGCAUGGGAGUGUGACAUACUAAAUCAGCACAGAAGAUGAAAGCUGUCAGCUGUCCCUUACCCUUUUCCUGAAAUGGCACCUGACAAUGAAUUUUUCUUCCCAGAGGUGCCGCCCUUUUCUCCUAUUAUUGCAAUGCAGACAGACAGUCAGUGUCUGCUAUCCAGACGGAGAGGAGGUUCCCAGCACACAGUUCCAUGCAACAAAAGGCUCUCCUAAAUACGAGGGCAAAUUUAGCAGGAAGAGGACUGGGUUCAGUUGCUUUAUAAUGCAAUUAGAGAGCUCCUGGAAGCACUAAUUGGAUCAUAAAGUGCCUUCUUCAUGUUCCAGCUGAGGAGAGAGGAAAAAAGGAUCACUUCACGUCCUCUUUGCACCUGCUAAGAUGUUUGUGAAACACCUUACAAUUAAAUUAUAAGCACCUAGAGGAGACUUUAAAUUGCAUACUAGAGAGCUAGAACCUUGACACAGACAUCAGAAUUCACAAACUGAAAGCUUACAAAAGCCUCAUAUCCACCUUCUGGUACUUUUCUACCUCCUGAGGUGGAAAGAGACCUUUGUUUUCCAUUGCCUUGAGUUCUUAAUAUUCCCUCUCAAAACAUUGGUCUAAGUAUAUCCUGAGCUAACAGCAA
rnacentral:lncRNA from 1 species